rnacentral:rRNA from 1 species
AACUGGGAUUAGAUACCCCACUAUGCUCAGCCCUAAACUUUAAUGGCAUUGUACACAGCCAUUCGCCAGGGGACUACGAGCAUUAGCUUGAAACCCAAAGGACUUGGCGGUGCUUUAGAUCCACCUAGAGGAGCCUGUUCUA